rnacentral:rRNA from 1 species
UACGAAGGGGGCUAGCGUUGCUCGGAAUCACUGGGCGUAAAGCGCACGUAGGCGGCUUUUUAAGUCAGGGGUGAAAUCCUGGAGCUCAACUCCAGAACUGCCUUUGAUACUGAGAAGCUUGAGUCCGGGAGAGGUGAGUGGAACUGCGAGUGUAGAGGUGAAAUUCGUAGAUAUUCGCAAGAACACCAGUGGCGAAGGCGGCUCACUGGCCCGGUACUGACGCUGAGGUGCGAAAAGCGUGGGGAGCAAACAGGG